CUUGCCUACCCAAUGUAGCCCAGUCCUCCCUCUCACUUUUCUCCUCUCUUCUCUAAAAAGUGAAAGUUUGAACCCUAGCCCCCAGCCCGCAGCCACGCAGCCCUCGUGGCCCCCACAGCCCCGCAGCCCCCCACAGCCACCGUAGGAAGCUCCGUCACCGUCCUACGAAGUUGUGUCGCCGUCGUAGGAAGCUCCCUCGCAGUCGUUUGGAAGCUCUUUGGCCGUCGUCUCCUCUCUUUUCCCUCACUCGAUUCUCAUGCUUUGACUUCAACUUGUGCCUUCUUCGUGUAUUUUGUUCCGUCAUUUGGGCGCUGAUUCCCUUUUGUUGGUUUUCUUGGCUUGUCAAAGUUCUAACCUUUCUCUGAUUUGGAUGGAUCUGGUGCCAGUUUCUUAGAAUUCGGUCUUCUGGGGUGUCGAGUAUACUUGAACGUCACUGAUUCUACCUCAAAGGGGGUUUCUCUUAUCUUUGAAGGAAAAUUGAUUGGGAGUGUUCUAGUGUUCUCAGUUGAGGGUUGACUAUUGUCAACUUACCUUCAAGAAGAGUGAUUUGAGUUGAAGUUAAUUAAUUAACUUCUAUUCAAAGGCCUAAUUAAUUUGGAUUCAUUAGCACAUUAUAGUUCUCUUACUAGUUAUUUUCUGCAACCAUUAAAAUGUGCAUUGGCGGCCCCUAUGCCAAUGGCAAGUUGGUCCUGGUAAUUUUCCUGUUUGUGAGGCCCAAGCCAAAACUUUCUGUAGUGUCUCUACAUUUCCAUUAGUGUAUGAACUUAAUCAGAUUUGGAUUAACUACAGUGGACGCAACCAAUUGAGCAAAGAGAAAAAAAAGUGUAACCAUGAUUGAUGGAGAAAUUUCACCUUUAGUCUUGGAGGAACAAACCGAAGUGAUCAAGUGGCUUGGGCAGAUUAAGAAGGUCACAAUACUAAUUAUUAAGGUCAUAGUACAAAUUUUUGACGAUGUCAUGAGAUUUUCAACUUUCAAAACAAAGGUAAAGUUUACAAUGCAUCAAAGUCUACCAUUCUUUAUCACAAAAAAUUUAUUGUUUUUUAUCUACAUAUAAACAAGUAAGAUUGGAAAUGACUUGCAAAUUAAAAUGUUUUGAAUGUAAACAAAUUUGACAGAAACAUAACGCUUGAAUUUAACUAAAAAAUUGAUAACAAAUUCAGGAAUGUAACUAGACUGAGCUUAAAUGUGCUGGAAAAAUAAGUUGUAUUAAAGUAAAGUGUAGAAUUUAAAAAAAAUAAAAUAAAUAAAUAGUGAAAAAGAAAUGUCACCUCAUACACUACAAAUUCAUAGAAAAGAUUCUCGAACAUAUUGUAUAUAGCUUCGCAAAGGUCUUUUUUCUCCAUGCACCCAAACGUUUCUAAUAAACCUAGCUAAAACUAUAUUAGGCUUUGCAUAACUUUGAAACUAAAAACACUAGUCAGAGUUUGUAGGACGCCCUCUCUCUUUGACAAGGUCCUGUGUCUAACGGAUAUAAAUGCUUUCCUCUAAUGGUUAUACUCCAAUUUUUUAAAAUCCAGUUGGACCUUAACAAAAAAAUUACUUAUUGAAUUCAAAAUAUAGGGAUGGUGUGUUAUUGAAUUCCUAAAAUUAUAAAAGAGUAAAAAUAUUAUUACAUGCACUAUAAAAGAGUAAAAACGUUAUAAUAAAACAGAUCAAACGAAAAUUACAGUGUUGUAGUGCCUCAAAAAAACUGAUACAUAAUCUAAGAUCAUGAACAAGAAAGUUUGGAUUCAGCGAGUUGCUUGAAUCUAAACUUUCUUAUUCAUGAUCUUAAGAUUGUUCAUAAGUUUUUUGAGACAUGCAACACACGGUAAAUUUUCGUUUAAUCUGUUUUUAUCAUAACGUUUUUCCUCGUUUAUAGUGCAUGUAAUGAAUAUUUUUACUAUUUAAUAAUUUUAGAAAUUCAAUAACACACCAUCCGUAUAUUUUGACUUCAAUGGAUAUGCGUGUUGGAAAAUUGGAGUAUAAUCAUUCAAGGAAGACACAAGAUCGGUUAUUAAAGAAGAAGUGUACUAUAUUCGAACAACCAAACUCUGAUUAGUAGUUUCGAAGUUAUACAAAGAAUGAUAUGACUUGGAUAGGUUUUUUAGAAAUGUUUGGGUUCAUGGAGUGAGGAUAGAUUUUUUUAUUUUUUUAUUAUUUUUUUAAAAUUGAAUUUUAUUUUAAUUAUGUGAUUAUCCAUUAUAAUAGAUUAGUACCACCGAGCAUUGCAAAGCUAUACACAAUAUGUCCGAGAAUCUUUUUUACGAAUUUGAGGAGAAAAUAUUUUAGCUAAAUUUUAUGGAUAAAAUGUACUUCUUUUUUUAAAUUUUGCACUUUACUUUAAUACAAUUUAUUUUCCUAACACAUUUAAGUUUAGUUUAUAUUUCUGAAUUUGUUAUCAUUUUUUUUAGUUAAAUUCAAAGCAGUGUUAUAUUUCUGUGUAAAGUCUAUUUACAUUCAAAGCAUUUUAAUUUGCAAAUUGUUUUCAAUCUUUAGUUUACUCGUUUAUGUAUAGAUAAAAAACAAUAAAAAUUCAUUCUUAGUGAUAAAGACUAGUAGACUUAGAUGCAUGGUAAACUGUUGAUCGCAUAAAGGAAUAUGUUUUGCUCCUAGACAUUAGAUUUUGAACUAACCCAAUAACUUCUUGCAAAUUUUUUUUAAUUUUAAUUUGCAGAAGAUCUGUUAAACAGCUGUAUGUUAAUUAGAAUUGUAUUUAUAAACACAAAAAAAUGGAAAAAUAAGGUGCUUGGGUUGUUAUCAAUAAUAAACCAACCACUAUAUAUAGCGGUAUCUGUACUACAGUAUUAACAGUUGCAAUUUUCCAUUGUUGGUUCAUUGAUGACCACAAUCACGAGGAUCCACUUUGUUUCAAGAUUCCCGUUCAAGCCACAUUUAUGUUGUGGGAUGUCCCAGUACUUGCAUCUUGUGAACUAUGUUUCUGCUGAAAUUUGGUGCAAAGACAGUGAGAAGCUUGCACUCCUCGACUUCAAGUAAGAGAAAGAUGGUUGCCUUUGGAAAGAAGUUGAAAGACAGAGAACUUCAAGAAUGGCAGGGAUAUAUAUUAUAUAAACUACAAACUCAUGAAGAAACGAGUAAGGCACUCUGGUGAGCAAAUUCAACUCGGAACAAAGAUUGACGCCAUGUGCUCAGGGAUUUCUCCAGAAUGCUAGAUAAUCAGAUUGAGAAGAUUGUCCUUUUCCUUUUGGAGCCACAAGGGAUUUUGGCAAGCAGGAUAUCGAAGCUUGGAGAGCAACAUGAUACUAUUCUGCAGGAACCUGAAAUUCACAAAAUCUCUGAACUGCGAGAAGCUUAUAGAGAAGUGGGAAUAGAUUCCUUAAUUGUCAUUAAUUCUUCUGUGAUAAUUAACUUGGUUUAAUUUUCUUAGAUGUUUUAAACUAAAUAUGUUGCGCAAUGGUGUGCCUUUUUUUAACAAAUUUAGUUCAUUAGACAGAACUAACAUCUUUAUUGCAUUCGACUAAUUUUCACUGAACUAAGAAAGUUCAUUUAUGUGUGUA